GAUGAACGCUGGCGGCGUGCCUAAUACAUGCAAGUCGAGCGAACAGAUGAGGAGCUUGCUCCUCUGACGUUAGCGGCGGACGGGUGAGUAACACGUGGAUAACCUACCUAUAAGACUGGGAUAACUUCGGGAAACCGGAGCUAAUACCGGAUAAUAUAUUGAACCGCAUGGUUCAAUAGUGAAAGACGGUUUUGCUGUCACUUAUAGAUGGAUCCGCGCCGCAUUAGCUAGUUGGUAAGGUAACGGCUUACCAAGGCAACGAUGCGUAGCCGACCUGAGAGGGUGAUCGGCCACACUGGAACUGAGACACGGUCCAGACUCCUACGGGAGGCAGCAGUAGGGACUCUUCCGCAAUGGGCGAAAGCCUGACGGAGCAACGCCGCGUGAGUGAUGAAGGUCUUCGGAUCGUAAAACUCUGUUAUUAGGGAAGAACAAAUGUGUAAGUAACUAUGCACGUCUUGACGGUACCUAAUCAGAAAGCCACGGCUAACUACGUG
rnacentral:rRNA from 1 species